AGAGUUUGAUCAUGGCUCAGAUUGAACGCUGGCGGCAGGCCUAACACAUGCAAGUCGAGCGGUAGCACAGAGAGCUUGCUCUCGGGUGACGAGCGGCGGACGGGUGAGUAAUGUCUGGGAAACUGCCUGAUGGAGGGGGAUAACUACUGGAAACGGUAGCUAAUACCGCAUAAUGUCGCAAGACCAAAGUGGGGGACCUUCGGGCCUCAUGCCAUCAGAUGUGCCCAGAUGGGAUUAGCUAGUAGGUGGGGUAACGGCUCACCUAGGCGACGAUCUCUAGCUGGUCUGAGAGGAUGACCAGCCACACUGGAACUGAGACACGGUCCAGACUCCUACGGGAGGCAGCAGUGGGGAAUAUUGCACAAUGGGCGCAAGCCUGAUGCAGCCAUGCCGCGUGUGUGAAGAAGGCCUUCGGGUUGUAAAGCACUUUCAGCGGGGAGGAAGGCGUUAAGGUUAAUAACCUUGGCGAUUGACGUUACCCGCAGAAGAAGCACCGGCUAACUCCGUGCCAGCAGCCGCGGUAAUACGGAGGGUGCAAGCGUUAAUCGGAAUUACUGGGCGUAAAGCGCACGCAGGCGGUCUGUCAAGUCGGAUGUGAAAUCCCCGGGCUCAACCUGGGAACUGCAUUCGAAACUGGCAGGCUAGAGUCUUGUAGAGGGGGGUAGAAUUCCAGGUGUAGCGGUGAAAUGCGUAGAGAUCUGGAGGAAUACCGGUGGCGAAGGCGGCCCCCUGGACAAAGACUGACGCUCAGGUGCGAAAGCGUGGGGAGCAAACAGGAUUAGAUACCCUGGUAGUCCACGCCGUAAACGAUGUCGAUUUGGAGGUUGUGCCCUUGAGGCGUGGCUUCCGGAGCUAACGCGUUAAAUCGACCGCCUGGGGAGUACGGCCGCAAGGUUAAAACUCAAAUGAAUUGACGGGGGCCCGCACAAGCGGUGGAGCAUGUGGUUUAAUUCGAUGCAACGCGAAGAACCUUACCUGGUCUUGACAUCCACAGAACUUUCCAGAGAUGGAUUGGUGCCUUCGGGAACUGUGAGACAGGUGCUGCAUGGCUGUCGUCAGCUCGUGUUGUGAAAUGUUGGGUUAAGUCCCGCAACGAGCGCAACCCUUAUCCUUUGUUGCCAGCGGUUAGGCCGGGAACUCAAAGGAGACUGCCAGUGAUAAACUGGAGGAAGGUGGGGAUGACGUCAAGUCAUCAUGGCCCUUACGACCAGGGCUACACACGUGCUACAAUGGCAUAUACAAAGAGAAGCGACCUCGCGAGAGCAAGCGGACCUCAUAAAGUAUGUCGUAGUCCGGAUUGGAGUCUGCAACUCGACUCCAUGAAGUCGGAAUCGCUAGUAAUCGUAGAUCAGAAUGCUACGGUGAAUACGUUCCCGGGCCUUGUACACACCGCCCGUCACACCAUGGGAGUGGGUUGCAAAAGAAGUAGGUAGCUUAACCUUCGGGAGGGCGCUUACCACUUUGUGAUUCAUGACUGGGGUGAAGUCGUAACAAGGUAACCGUAGGGGAACCUGCGGUUGGAUCACCU
rnacentral:rRNA from 1 species